AUACGGAGGAUCCGAGCGUUAUCCGGAUUUAUUGGGUUUAAAGGGAGCGUAGGUGGGAUAUUAAGUCAGCUGUGAAAGUUUGGGGCUCAACCUUAAAAUUGCAGUUGAUACUGGUUUCCUUGAGUACGGUAUAGGUGGGCGGAAUUCGUGGUGUAGCGGUGAAAUGCAUAGAUAUGACGAAGAACACCGAUUGCGUAGGCAGCUGACCAGACCGCAAAUGACGCUCAUGCACGAAAGUGCGGGGAUCGAACAGGAUUAGAUACCCUGGUAGUCCGCACAGUAAACGAUGAAUACUUGUUUUCGGCGAUAUAAUGUCGGAGGCAAAGCGAAAGCGAUAAGUAUUCCACCUGGGGAGUACGCCGGCAACGGUGAAACUCAAAUGAAUUGACGGGG
rnacentral:rRNA from 1 species